rnacentral:rRNA from 1 species
UUAGAUACCCUGGUAGUCCACGCUGUAAACGAUGAUUACUAGGUGUGGGGGGAUUGAACCCUUCCGUGCCGGAGUUAACACAAUAAGUAAUCCACCUGGGGAGUACGACCGCAAGGUUGAAACUCAAAGGAAUUGACGGGGGCCCGCACAAGCAGUGGAGUAUGUGGAUUAAUUCGAUGCAACGCGAAGAACCUUACCAGGUCUUGACAUCAAGUGCGAGUCCCAGAGAUGGGAUCCUCUCUUCGGAGACACGAAGACAGGUGGUGCAUGGUUGUCGUCAGCUCGUGUCGUGAGAUGUUGGGUUAAGUCCCGCAACGAGCGCAACCCUUAUGAUUAGUUGCUACGCAAGAGCACUCUGAUCAGACUGCCGUUGACAAAACGGAGGAAGGUGGGGAUGANGUCAAAUCAUCAUGCCCCUUACGACCUGNGCCUCACACGUACUACAAUGGCGUUUAACAAAGAGCAGCAAAACCGCGAGGUGGAGCAAAUCUCCAAAAAACGUCUCAGUUCGGAUUGUAGGCUGCAACCCGCCUGCAUGAAGUCGGAAUUGCUAGUAAUCGUAGAUCAGCAUGCUACGGUGAAUACGUUCCCGGGCCUUGUACACACCGNCCGUCAAACCAUGAGAGUUGGGCACACCCGAAGCCUGUAGUUUAACCGCAAGACGGCGCACUCGAAAGUGGGGUCGAUGAUUAGGGUAAGUUCGUACAAGGUAGCCGAAUUCACC